rnacentral:tRNA from 1 species
GCUGCAGUGGCUCAGUGGUAGAGCACGUCCUUGGUAAGGACGGGGUCGCGGGUUCGAUCCCCGCCUGCAGCACCA